UGAAGAGAAGGUUCAUCAGGGUGGGA
rnacentral:piRNA from 1 species